rnacentral:rRNA from 1 species
AUUGAACGCUGGCGGCGUGCCUAACACAUGCAAGUCGAGCGGUAAGGCCCUUUCGGGGGUACGACGAGCGGCGAACGGGUGAGUAACACGUGGGUGACCUGCCCUUAGCUCUGGGAUAAGCCUGGGAAACUGGGUCUAAUACCGGAUAUGACCCUAUGGCGCAUGUUGUGGGGGUGGAAAGCCUUGUGCGGCUAGGGAUGGGCCCGCGGCCUAUCAGCUUGUUGGUGGGGUGAUGGCCACCAAGGCGACGACGGGUAGCCGGCCUGAGAGGGCGACCGGCCACACUGGGACUGAGACACGGCCCAGACUCCUACGGGAGGCAGCAGUGGGGAAUCUUGCGCAAUGGGCGAAAGCCUGACGCAGCGACGCCGCGUGAGGGAUGACGGCCU